GGGUCAGUAGCUCAGCUGGUUAGAGCGUCUGCCUCUUAAGCAGAAUGUCGAGGGUUCAAGUCCCUCCUGACCCU
rnacentral:tRNA from 1 species